AGGACCACUCCUGCGUAUCCACUGGAGCCUAUGCGAGUGCCUGUGGAUCUGUGGUCUCUGCCCAGCUUGGGGUAUGGAGGCAUGGAGGCCUCAACAUGGAGCUGAAAGCAUCAAACCUAAGGGUGUCCUCUGCCAUUCUGGAGGGGCAGUUGCUGGUCUGCCCAGCCUUCUAUGAUUCUAAACCAAAUGACAGCAAAGCUCAAGAAGAGUUCAGAGAAAAUGAUCCUGACAACCUGCUUUCCAAGGGCCUUGAAAAUUUUGCUUCUGGCUUGUUACUAACAAUGGUAAUAUAGUAUCACUUUGAUACAACACCACUUCUAGUCUCCCUCAAACAUGGCUUUGCUAAUCAUUGUAAUCUUCUCCACAUGAGAAAUUUUUGGCAUUUUAUGGGAGUCAGCUGAGAAUUUUCCUGGACUUGAACCUUAAAGAUUUUGCUGAAUAUUUUAAUCUGUGGACUGUGAAUGACUUUAUAAUACAGUUUUCCUUUCAUUUUGUUUUGUUUUGUUUCUAUUUAAAAUGUUGUUAGUUUCUAGUGUGUUCUAAUGUGUUUCACGUGUGCACAUCUAUAUUUAUUUAUAAAUGUAUGAAAAAAAAAGUCUAUCUAUCAAAUCUAUCAAUAUCUCAAAAUCUAUCUAUCAAAGAUUUCACUUCAUACUAUGUUCUGUACUGAGAGUCACUUCACAGAAUCUAUGGCUGUAUUUUCUGCCACAGAAAAAUAAGAAUAUGCAAAAUAAAGUAGAAAUACAACCUGACCUUUUACUUCAUAGGCUUAAACCUGAAAUUCUAACAUUCCUUCUAAACAUAAUCUUUUCAAGCUUCCAGUACAUUUUGUCAGGCAUCUGGCAUUUUACAUUACUUUACAUCAUUAAACACUCUUUGUAAACAAAGUAACCAUCAAAUAUCUCUGUGAGAGGACAUUUGGCUUAAACAUUGGAGUUCUCUGACAAGCUAAAAGGAGUAAAAGGAAUUGUGAACAUGAACUGUGAUGGAAGGAUUUAAGUUGUCAAAUUUCAUGUGCGUGAAAUAUAGCUUAAGCUGAUGGGUUUGGAUAGCUACUUUUUACAAA